GGUUCAUCAAUUGGUCGAUUAAUCUACAUGAAACCUGUUUGAGAUUUGGCUUCUCAAAUCUGUUCAAAAGAGGCUCUUAAAAUUCAUACUUGCUGCAUUCCAUCGAUCUCCUGAUUUUGUUGCACUUCUGAAGGUUUGGAGUGGAAACUGCACCUACAAUUGUAUUUUUGAAAGAACAUGGAAUCAAACCUGUUGUGUACCAUGGUAUGUCACUCUUUUUAUUUUGUUUCCCCUAUUAUAAGGUGUUUUACUUUAGAAGAUCCAUGUGAUACAUGAAAUAGAGAUAGUAAUACUUACUGGGAAUAUAUAUUAAGUUUUUUGAGAGACUUUUUCUUAACCAAUUAGCGUUUUGACA